rnacentral:rRNA from 1 species
GGUCAAGCGAAUAAGUGCAUGUGGUGGAUGCCUUGGCAC